UACGUAGGGUGCGAGCGUUAAUCGGACUUACUGGGCGUAAAGCGUGCGUAGGCGGUUCGUUAAGUUCGUUGUGAAAGCCCCGGGCUCAACCUGGGAAUGGCAAUGGAAACUGGCGGGCUUGAGUGUGGCAGAGGGGGGUGGAAUUCCGCGUGUAGCAGUGAAAUGCGUAGAGAUGCGGAGGAACACCGAUGGCGAAGGCAGCCCCCUGGGCCAACACUGACGCUCAGGCACGAAAGCGUGGGGAGCAAACAGG
rnacentral:rRNA from 1 species